rnacentral:rRNA from 1 species
GAUGAACGCUGGCGGCGUGCCUAAUACAUGCAAGUCGAGCGAACAGAUGAGGAGCUUGCUCCUCUGACGUUAGCGGCGGACGGGUGAGUAACACGUGGAUAACCUGCCUAUAAGACUGGGAUAACUUCGGGAAACCGGAGCUAAUACCGGAUAAUAUAUUGAACCGCAUGGUUCAAUAGUGAAAGACGGUUUUGCUGUCACUUAUAGAUGGAUCCGCGCCGCAUUAGCUAGUUGGUAAGGUAACGGCUUACCAAGGCAACGAUGCGUAGCCGACCUGAGAGGGUGAUCGGCCACACUGGAACUGAGACACGGUCCAGACUCCUACGGGAGGCAGCAGUAGGGAAUCUUCCGCAAAGGGCGAAAGCCUGACGGAGCAACGCCGCGUGAGUGAUGAAGGUCUUCGGAUCGUAAAACUCUGUUAUUAGGGAAGAACAAAUGUGUAAGUAACUAUGCACGUCUUGACGGUACCUAAUCAGAAAGCCACGGCUAACUACGUG